AUUGAACGCUGGCGGCAUGCCUUACACAUGCAAGUCGAACGGAAACAGGUCUACGGAUUUUGUCGAGUGGCGAACGGGUGAGUAAUACAUCGGAACGUGCCCGAUCGUGGGGGUUAACGAGGCGCAAGCUUUGCUAAUACCGCAUACGAUCUACGGAUUACAGCGGGAGAUCUCCGUACCUCACGCGGACGGUGCCGCCGAUGGCAGAGCAUGUAGUUGGUCGGAUAACAGCUUACCAAGUCGACGAUCUGUAGCUGGUCUGAGAGGAUGAUCGGUCACACGGGGACUGAGACACGGCCCAGAAUCCUACGGGAGGCAGCAGUGGGGAAUUUUCGACAAUAGGCGAAAGCCUGAUCCAGCCAUGCCGCGUGCAGGAUGAAGGCCUUCGGGUCGUAAACUGCUUUUGUACGGAACGAAAAGCCUCUUUCUAAUAAAGAGGGGUCAUGACGGUACCGAAAGAAUAAGCACCGGCUAACUACGUG
rnacentral:rRNA from 1 species